UACGAAGGGGGCUAGCGUUGUUCGGAAUUAUUGGGCGUAAAGCGCGCGCAGGCGGUCCUUUAAGUCUGAUGUGAAAGCCCACGGCUCAACCGUGGAGGGUCAUUGGAAACUGGGGGACUUGAGUACAGAAGAGAAGAGUGGAAUUCCACGUGUAGCGGUGAAAUGCGUAGAGAUGUGGAGGAACACCAGUGGCGAAGGCGGCAUCCUGGACCAACACUGACGCUGAGGAGCGAAAGCCAGGGGAGCAAACGGG
rnacentral:rRNA from 1 species